GGCCAGAGGUAUGGGGUGGUUUGAGUGUUGGACUAUGACUCUGGAGACCAGGGUUCGAAUCCCAGCUUGGCCA